rnacentral:tRNA from 1 species
UCCGAAUUGGUGUAGUGGUCAACAUUCAGCACUCUCACUGCUGAGCCCAGGGUUCGAUUCCCUGAUUCGGAG